GUCUACGGCCAUACCACCCUGAACGCGCCCGAUCUCGUCUGAUCUCGGAAGCUAAGCAGGGUCGGGCCUGGUUAGUACUUGGAUGGGAGACAGAAUAUGAGGUCAGAUAAGCCUCACACA
ensembl:rRNA 5S_rRNA 5S ribosomal RNA